GGCGUCAUAGCUCAGUUGGGAGAGCAGCAGACUGAAGUCGAUGUUUCUUUCGGAAUCUGAAGGUCCCGUGUUCAAGCCACGGUGAUGCCA